rnacentral:rRNA from 1 species
GAUGAACGCUGGCGGCGUGCUUAACACAUGCAAGUCGAACGAGAACGCACCCUUCGGGGUGUUAUUAGAGUGGCGAACGGGUGAGUAACACGUGAAUAACCUGCCUUGUACUUUGGGAUAACUAUUGGAAACGAUAGCUAAUACCGAAUACUCCGCUUGGGGCUCCUGCUCUGAGCGGGAAAGAUUUUUCGGUACAAGAUGGAUUCGCGGCCCAUUAGCUUGUUGGCGGGGUAAUGGCCCACCAAGGCAACGAUGGGUAGCCGGGUUGAGAGACUGAUCGGCCACAUUGGGACUGAGAUACGGCCCAGACUCCUACGGGAGGCAGCAGUGGGGAAUUUUGCGCAAUGGGCGAAAGCCUGACGCAGCAACGCCGCGUGCGGGAUGACGGCCUUCGGGUUGUAAACCGCUUUCAGUGGAGAAGAAUUUUUGACGGUACCCACAGAAGAAGC